rnacentral:rRNA from 1 species
CCUACGGGUGGCAGCAGUGAGGAAUAUUGGUCAAUGGACGAGAGUCUGAACCAGCCAAGUCGCGUGAAGGAUGACUGCCCUAUGGGUUGUAAACUUCUUUUAUAUGGGAAUAAAAUGUUCCACGUGUGGGAUUUUGUAUGUACCAUAUGAAUAAGGAUCGGCUAACUCCGUGCCAGCAGCCGCGGUAAUACGGAGGAUCCGAGCGUUAUCCGGAUUUAUUGGGUUUAAAGGGAGCGUAGGUGGAUUGUUAAGUCAGUUGUGAAAGUUUGCGGCUCAACCGUAACAUGGCAGUUGAAACUGGCAGUCUUGAGUACAGUAGAGGUGGGCGGAAUUCGUGGUGUAGCGGUGAAAUGCUUAGAUAUCACGAAGAACUCCGAUUGCGAAGGCAGUUCACUGGACUGCAACUGACACUGAGGCUCGAAAGUGUGGGUAUCAAACAGGAUUAGAUACCCGAGUAGUC